GACAGAGGGGGCAAGCGUUAUCCGGAAUUAUUGGGCGUAAAGGGUACGUAGGCGGCUGGUCAAGUCUGGGGUCAAAGGCCACAGCUCAACUGUGGGAAGGCCCUGGAAACUGACCGGCUAGAGUGAGGUAGGGGUUGCGGGAAUUCCCGGUGUAGCGGUGAAAUGCGUAGAGAUCGGGAAGAACACCUGAGGCGGAAGCGCGCAACUGGGCCUCAACUGACGCUGAGGUACGAAAGCUAGGGGAGCGAAGGGG
rnacentral:rRNA from 1 species